GAGUUUGAUCCUGGCUCAGGAUUAACGCUGGCGGCAUGCCUAAUACAUGCAAGUCGAACGGAGUAGCAAUACUUAGUGGCGAACGGGUGAGUAACACGUAUCUAAUCUACCAUUUAGUGGGGAAUAACUGUUGGAAACGACAGCUAAUACCGCAUAAUAUUGCUGGAUAAUUUCCAGUAAUGAAAGGAGCUUUCAAGCUCCGCUGAUUGAUGAGGAUGCGGCGCAUUAGCUAGUUGGUAGGGUAAUGGCCUACCAAGGCAAUGAUGCGUAGCCGAUCUGAGAGGAUGAACGGCCACAUUGGGACUGAGACACGGCCCAAACUUCUACGGAAGGCAGCAGUAGGGAAUUUUUCACAAUGGGCGAAAGCCUGAUGGAGCAAUGCCGCGUGACUGAUGAAGGUCUUCGGAUUGUAAAGGUCUGUUGUAAGGGAAGAAAUGGUAAAACAGGAAAUGGUUUUAUCUAUGACGGUACCUUACCAGAAAGCCACGGCUAACUAUGUGCCAGCAGCCGCGGUAAUACAUAGGUGGCAAGCGUUAUCCGGAUUUAUUGGGCGUAAAGGGUGCGUUGACGGUUUUGCAAGUCUGAGGUUAAAUUUAGGAGCUCAACUCCUAAUCGCCUUGGAAACUACAAGACUAGAGUAUAGGAGAGGUUAGUGGAAUUCCAUGUGUAGCGGUGGAAUGUGUAGAUAUAUGGAGGAACACCAGUGGCGAA
rnacentral:rRNA from 1 species